rnacentral:misc_RNA from 1 species
UUAAGUUCAGCGGGUAUCCCUACCUGAUCCGAGGUCAAAUUCAUGGGGGUAGCUUCUGGGAGCCGAUCCGUCGGGCCCGAGUUCGCGUUUCUGCUGCGCUCGAAGCCAACGUGCCGGCCGCCAAUAGAUUUGAGGCGCACACCCCGCGGAGGGGGGCGUGACAUGCCCAACACCAAGCAGAGCUUGAAGGUUUAAAUGAC